UGGCGAACGGGUGAGUAACGCGUGGGCAACCUGCCCUCUAGAUGGGGACAACAUCCCGAAAGGGGUGCUAAUACCGAAUGUGACAGCAAUCUCGCAUGAGGAUGCUGUGAAAGAUGGCCUCUAUUUAUAAGCUAUCGCUAGAGGAUGGGCCUGCGUCUGAUUAGAUAGUUGGUGAGGUAACGGCUCACCAAGUCGACGAUCGGUAGCCGGACUGAGAGGUUGAACGGCCACAUUGGGACUGAGACACGGCCCAGACUCC
rnacentral:rRNA from 1 species